rnacentral:rRNA from 1 species
UACGGAGGGGGCAAGCGUUGUCCGGACUUACUGGGCGUAAAGGGUGCGUAGGCGGUCUUGUGCGUCGGUGCUGAAAGCGCCCGGCUUAACCGGGCGAGGCGUGCCGAUACGACAAGACUUGAGGGGCAGCGAGGGUGGCGGAACUCCUGGUGUAGUGGUGAAAUGCGUAGAGAUCAGGAGGAACACCGGUGGCGAAGGCGGGUCUCUGGGCCGAUACUGACGCUGAGGAGCGAAAGCGUGGGGAGCGAACAGG